CCUACGGUGGGCAGCAGUGAGGGAUAUUGGUCAAUGGGGGAAACCCUGAACCAGCAACGCCGCGUGAGGGAAGACGGUUUUCGGAUUGUAAACCUCUGUCCUCUGUGAAGAUAAUGACGGUAGCAGAGGAGGAAGCUCCGGCUAACUACGUGCCAGCAGCCGCGGUAAUACGUAGGGAGCGAGCGUUAUCCGGAUUUAUUGGGUUUAAAGGGUGCGUAGGCGGGCUGUUAAGUCAGCGGUAAAAGCCCGGGGCUCAACCCCGGCGAGCCGUUGAAACUGGCUGUCUUGAGAUGUCGAGAGGUAUGCGGAAUGCGCAGUGUAGCGGUGAAAUGCUUAGAUAUUGCGCAGAACUCCGAUUGCGAAGGCAGCAUACCGGCGGCGAUCUGACGCUGAGGCACGAAAGCGUGGGUAUCGAACAGGAUUAGAUACCCCGGUAGUC
rnacentral:rRNA from 1 species